AAUAUUGGACAAUGGGCGGAAGCCUGAUCCAGCCAUGCCGCGUGUGUGAAGAAGGUCUUCGGAUUGUAAAGCACUUUAAUUUGGGAGGAAGGGUUUACACCUACUACGUGUGAACUUUGAUGUUACCAACAGAAUAAGCACCGCCGAACUUCGUGCCAGCAGCCGCGGUAAUAAGAAGGGUGCAAGGGUUAAUCGGAAUUACUGGGGGUAAAGCGCGCGUAGGUGGUUCGUUAAGUUGGAAGUGAAAGCCCCGGGCUCAACCUGGGAAUUGCUUUCAAAACUGGCGAGCUAGAGUACGGUAGAGGUGGUGGAAUUUCCUGUGUAACGGUGAAAUGCGUAGAUAUAGGAAGGAAUAUCAGUGGCGAAGGCGACCACCUGGACUGAUACUGACACUGAGGUGCGAAAGCGUGGGGAGCAAACAGG
rnacentral:rRNA from 1 species